rnacentral:rRNA from 1 species
ACUCCUACGGGAGGCAGCAGUGGGGAAUAUUGCACAAUGGGGGAAACCCUGAUGCAGCCAUGCCGCGUGUGUGAAGAAGGCCUUCGGUUGUAAAGCACUUUCAGUAGGGAGGAAGGUAGUGUAGUUAACACCUGCACUAUUUGACGUUACCUACAGAAGAAGCACCGGCUAACUCCGUGCCAGCAGCCGCGGUAAUACGGAGGGUGCGAGCGUUAAUCGGAAUUACUAGGGCGUAAAGCGCAUGCAGGCGGCCUGUUAAGUCAGAUGUGAAAGCCCGGGGCUUAACCUCGGAAUUGCAUUUGAAACUGGCAGGCUAGAGUCUUGUAGAGGGGGGUAGAAUUUCAGGUGUAGCGGUGAAAAUGCGUAAGAGAUCUGAAGGAAUACCAGUGGCGAAAGGCGGCCCCCCUGGACAAAGACUGAACGCUCAGGAUGCGAAAAAGCGUGGGGG